GUAAUGUAAGGGUGGCACUCACA
rnacentral:miRNA from 1 species